rnacentral:rRNA from 1 species
GAUGAACGCUGGCGGCGUGCCUAAUACAUGCAAGUCGAGCGAACAGACGAGGAGCUUGCUCCUUUGACGUUAGCGGCGGACGGGUGAGUAACACGUGGAUAACCUACCUAUAAGACUGGGAUAACUUCGGGAAACCGGAGCUAAUACCGGAUAACAUGUUGAACCGCAUGGUUCAACAGUGAAAGACGGUCUUGCUGUCACUUAUAGAUUGAUCCGCGCCGCAUUAGCUAGUUGGUAAGGUAACGGCUUACCAAGGCAACGAUGCGUAGCCGACCUGAGAGGGUGAUCGGCCACACUGGAACUGAGACACGGUCCAGACUCCUACGGGAGGCAGCAGUAGGGAAUCUUCCGCAAUGGGCGAAAGCCUGACGGAGCAACGCCGCGUGAGUGAAGAAGGUCUUCGGAUCGUAAAACUCUGUUAUUAGGGAAGAACAAAUGUGUAAGUAACUAUGCACGUCUUGACGGUACCUAAUCAGAAAGCCACGGCUAACUACGUG